rnacentral:rRNA from 1 species
UACGUAGGGGGCAAGCGUUGUCCGGAAUCAUUGGGCGUAAAGCGCGUGUAGGCGGUUCGUUAAGUCUGCUGUGAAAGUCCAGGGCUCAACCCUGGGAUGCCGGUGGAUACUGUCGGGCUAGAGUGCGGAAGAGGCGAGUGGAAUUCCUGGUGUAGCGGUGAAAUGCGCAGAUAUCAGGAGGAACACCAAUUGCGAAGGCAGCUCGCUGGGACGUUACUGACGCUGAGACGCGAAAGCGUGGGGAGCAAACAGG